rnacentral:rRNA from 1 species
UACGAAGGGGGCUAGCGUUGCUCGGAAUCACUGGGCGUAAAGGGUGCGUAGGCGGGUCUUUAAGUCAGGGGUGAAAUCCUGGAGCUCAACUCCAGAACUGCCUUUGAUACUGAAGAUCUUGAGUUCGGGAGAGGUGAGUGGAACUGCGAGUGUAGAGGUGAAAUUCGUAGAUAUUCGCAAGAACACCAAGUGGCGAAGGCGGCUCACUGGCCCGAUACUGACGCUGAGGCACGAAAGCGUGGGGAAGCCAAACAGGG